GACGAACGCUGGCGGCGUGCCUAAUACAUGCAAGUAGAACGCUGAAGGAGGAGCUUGCUUCUCUGGAUGAGUUGCGAACGGGUGAGUAACGCGUAGGUAACCUGCCUGGUAGCGGGGGAUAACUAUUGGAAACGAUAGCUAAUACCGCAUAAGAGUAGAUGUCGCAUGACAUUUGCUUAAAAGGUGCAAUUGCAUCACUACCAGAUGGACCUGCGUUGUAUUAGCUAGUUGGUGAGGUAACGGCUCACCAAGGCAACGAUACAUAGCCGACCUGAGAGGGUGAACGGGCAAACUGGGACUGAGAAAAGGCCCAAGAUGCUAAGGGGAGGAGCAGGAGGGAAUCUUCGGCAAUGGACGGAAGUCUGACCGAGCAACGCCGCGUGAGUGAAGAAGGUUUUCGGAUCGUAAAGCUCUGUUGUAAGAGAAGAACGAGUGUGAGAGUGGAAAGUUCACACUGUGACGGUAUCUUACCAGAAAGGGACGGCUAACUACGUG
rnacentral:rRNA from 1 species